UGGUGUGUACAGAAGUGAUGGAGUCAGAGGCCGUGGAGGAUUCGGAGGGGCAAAGGUUUACGGUGGCAGGAAUGGUGGUCGGGCAGUGGUUAAGUUUAGUCACCACAUGAACACCCAUUUUUCUCAUGUCAAGAUGAACACCCAUCUGAAAAGCACCACAUGGACACCCAUCUGAAAAUUAAAGCACCACAUGAACACCUAGCUGUAUUUAACUUCAUGUCCAGUCAACUAAGGAGCUCCAGUACUGUUCUAUGUAUGUUCUAUAUAUAUGUUCUAUCCAUGUUCUAUCUAUGUUCUACUAAAGUUUAUGUGUUUGUUCUAUCUAUGUUCUAUGACUGCUCUAGCUAGCUUUUAUGUACGUUCUUCUCAACAUGGUGUCUGUAAUUUCGAUCUUUUAUGUCCUGCAAGUUGCAACUCUUCCAAAAGUGGCCAGAGUCGCAUAUGAUAUAAUAUGUCCUUAACGUCAGCCAUAUGUAUAAAACAUUUCAUCAACGUCCCUUGAAAAUAAAUUGUCUGUCGUCAACUUUU
rnacentral:lncRNA from 1 species